CGCGUAGGUGGUAGUGUAAGUCUGGGGUGGAAUCCCAGGGCUCAACCCUGGAACUGCCUUGGAAACUGCAUUACUUGAGUCAGUGAGGGGAGGGUAGAAUUCCUGGUGGUAGCGGUGAAAUGCGUAGAUAUCAGGAGGAAGGCCUGUGGCGAAGGCGGCCCUCUGGCGCUGGACUGACACUGAGGCGCGAAAGCGUGGGGAGCAAACAGGAUUAGAUACCCUGGUAGUCCACGCCCUAAACGGUGGGCACUAGGUGUAGGGCUCGUAAGGGUUCUGUGCCGAAGGGAACCAUUAAGUGCCCCGCCUGGGGAGUACGGCCGCAAGGUUGAA
rnacentral:rRNA from 1 species